AUAUUGGGUGAAUCUCAGGCUGAGACCGAGAAAGUACCAGAACAUCGGGAUAAAGAUGUGAGCAAGUGCAUCUGGAACCCAACUGGAGAUCAGUACAUUGUUUUACAAUUCUCUGAGUUUCCAGAAAUCUCCACACAAGUGAAGGAAAACAACUAAAUAAUAUAUUGGUUCUAUGGAAAUUGGCAUUAAUCAAUCCCCAGCCCUUUCUGAAUGUAGCUAGUUCUUUUGAAAUUCAGUGU